GGAUUCAUGAAUGCAAAGGGUA
rnacentral:siRNA from 1 species